UUUCUGAACUCGAACCACUGCUGC
rnacentral:piRNA from 1 species